CAUUUUUCAUCACCGACUCAAACAAGCACCUUUGCGAUUUCAAAAAUAGAAUCAAUAAUCAAUCCAACGAUGAAGAUUGAUUACACAGAGUGAUGACAAUCCAGCCUGUGAUUGAGAUUACGGUGAUCAAUCAAUAUUUCAGAACAGAGGCCUGUGAUUGAAUCUUGGGUGCGAUUGCUUCAAAUCCUUCUGAUUACGCACAAAUCUUUCAGAAUAAUAUCAGAAAGCUUACUGAUCAGCCUAUCACAACUGAGAAGAUAAAGAGAGUUGUUCAAGAGAGCCUGAAAGAAGAAGGAGAUGCAAAGAAUUUGAAGGGGACUUGGUAUAGCUGAGAACAACUGAGUUACUGAUGCUUUGAUGGCAGUGACAUAACUCGGUCACGAAUUCAAAUAUCUCAAGAGGAACGGGAGCAGAAAAAAAUGAACAAUGGCUGGUGGACUUGCAUUGAGAGAAAUAGAUAAGGUCAACUAGUGAAGAUGCAGCUUUGCAAUUACUAGUAGAAACAAUGCCUUACAUGUGACAUGCCAGUAUAAUGUGAGCUGAGCAAGCAACCAAAUGUCGACAGGGAGGAUUCUGUAACUUUGUUUUCUUGGGUUUCAUGAUCUUUUAAAUGUAUAUACUGUAUAUACAACUUGUACUUUUAACUUAUUUCUACUUUUUUUAUGUAGCUUAUAUUAGCUGUUAAAUAAGAAAGAGGAUAAGUUUCAGAUGCGCAUGAUUGAUAAGAUAUGACAUCAACUUGUUCAUUACUGAUGUGUAACUUUCACGAAUAUAACUUCGUGUGAGCCUGCUGAUGUAUCUAUUAAAGAGUUGGUAAAGCCUAAACAUGAAUGAAUAAGAAACAUAACUUUGUGUGAGCCUGCUGAUGUAUCUGUUAAGGAGUUGGUAAAGCCUAAAGAGGCUUGAAUAAGAUAAGCUUUUAUAAUGAGAUGGUACAUGGACUAACGACACUUAAUGAUGUUAGUGACAUAUCAGAAGUCUAUAUAGGAGAGCCAACCAUUUUUUUUUUUCCAGUUCUCGUUAAGUGUUUUCCCAAGGAUUUUUCCCAGUGUUUUCCCAUUAAGUAUAGGAGGUGCCAGUUUUUAUGGAGUAUCUAGAAUAUUUAAAGUUCUGAAAAGCAUGGAAAUAACUUAACUAGGUAUGUUCCAAGAUCUCUUAAGAAAAGAACAAUGGCUAGUGAGGACUUGUACUGAGGUACAUUGUCUUGUCACGCAUCUUUUUAAGUCAAUCCGCGUUGCUACCAUUUUUCUAAGCUUGUUGACAUCUUCUGUUUCCAAUAUAGCAUUCGUCACUCACGUUCAUUUUGGGUAUGGGAUAUGAAUCAUUGUGCCAAUAGUUAUGAUAUGCAUCAUGCCAAGGGAAAUAAUUAAGAUCUUAUUCAAGACCACUUCUGCUUCCUGGAAAACAUUUAGUGAAGUCUAUAGCAUUACAAACAACGUCAAUCAAGUGAUCUGUAAAAGGAGGGUUUGGAUCAGCAAAGAAUUUGGAGAUUAUUUGGUGUAGUCAAGAAGAAGUGACUCUUGGAAGACGUAACUGAGUUAUGGUAAAACUUAACAAAAACACAAAGCACAACCAAAAUACAAAUAGGGAUUAAACUUAAAACACACACCAAACAAAAAAACAUAUACACAAAAAGUACACAGAUUCAUUUAAAAUAGAUGCAAAAAAACUCCAUAGUUUCACGUAUACGUAAACUCUACAAUUUCACGUACACGUAAACUCCAAAACUUCACGAUCACAUAUACUCUACAAUUUCACGAUCACGUAAACUCCACAAUUUCACGAUCACGUAAACUCCGCAAUUUCACGAUCACAUAAACUAAUUUCACGAUCACAUAAACUCCACAACUUCACGAUCACAUAAACUCCACAACUUCACGAUCACAUAAACUGCACAACUUCACGAUCUCGACAAUGUCAAUUAGAUUGUUUUUUCGAUAGUUCUUUUGAGCAUCGAUGACUUGUAUGAUUAUGAUUCAGUUCUUGUUUAGAUAUCUCCAUCAUUGCUAUAUAUUUUUGUUAGCAACUAUUACAGUGCUUAUAUAUUUUCUUUAGUUUAUUA